GCCAGGUGUGGUGGUGCGCACCUGUAAUCCCAGUUACUUGGGAGGCUGAGGCAGGAAAAUUGCUUGAACCCGGGAGGCGGAGGUUGCAGUGAGCCAAGAUUGCACCACUGCACUCCAGCCUGGGUGACAGAGCAAGACUCUGUCUCAA
rnacentral:SRP_RNA from 2 species